UCGAGCCUGCUCGCCCCCCUAACCGCUUAGCCUUUUCCCUUCCGCUCUCCCCUGUCCCCCUCCUCCGGCCCAGGCGCCCAGCCGAGCGAGAAAGCGAAGGGGGGAAAAGGGGGGCCGCGCCGCGCCCGGCUUUCCUUGGCACCACCACCACCACCACCACCCCGGAGAAGAUGGAGCUGUUCUGCGAGCUGCUGCUCACGGCGGCGGUCACGCUCCUCGCGGCCUUCCUGCUCGCCACGCUCUUCGCCGCCAAUGAUCCGCCGCGCCGGGCGGCCGAUCGCGCCGCAGCCGCGAUCGCCGAGGAGGCGGUGGAGGAGGAGAGGAUCAUCGAGGUCGACGAGGUGAGGCGUGGCGGAGGGAGGGCGGUGGCGGAGGGGUGGGUCGAGGUGGAGAAGGCGCCGGCGGUGGCCGUCGAGGAGGUGCGGGAGCUGGAGUGCUUGCCCGAGGAGGAGCUUCCCGUGAAGGUCGCUAGGGAGGUGCGCCUUGGUGCUGGAGUAGGGGAGGUGGAGGAGGGCGGUGACGGCGUGAAGCGGCGUGAUUUGACCCCUGCGACGGCGGUGGUUGCUGAGACGAGCCCGCAGGUCUCGGGCGCAGAUGAGGCUGUGCCUAGGGAGGUUAUUGGUGUGGCGGGUUUGGAGGAAGGGAGCGUACAAGAUGUUGAAGUCAAGCCGCAUGAUCUGGGUGCUGAGGUUGCUCCCAUUGAAGUUCUCGGAGCAGGAUCGGAGAGGCAGCGAGUGGGAGUUGCUGAGGCGAGCCCGCAAGUUGUUGAAGUCGCGGAAGUCUUUCCCUUGGAAACAGAGGCUGUUCAAGUGACACAAGACCAUCUGGUUGCCGAAGAUGUUCUUGACGCGGGACUGGCAGGGAAGAGUGCGCAACCUAUCCAAGCGACGCCGGAUGAAUUGGACUCUGAGACUGCUCCCAAAGAGAUUGAAGCAGAGGCUGUUCAAGUGAAACAGCACCAUCUGGCUGCCGAAGUUACUCCUGCCGAAGAUGUUCUUGACGCGGGAUUGGCAGGGAAGAGUGUGCAACCUAUCCAAGCGACGCCGGAUGAAUUGGACUCUGAGACUGCUCCAGAAAAGAUUCUUGACGUGGCAUUAGAGGAGGAAGAGCAAGUAGUUGAAGUGAAGGAACGUGAAUUGCCUGCCGAGGCUGCCACACAACCAGUUCUCGAUGUGCCAUUGGCAGAGAAGGAAGAGCUUAAAGAUCAUCAUCCCGCUGAAGAAUCUUUCAACUUACACGAGGAAGUGCAGAGCAAGAAGGAAGCUAAAUGUGAGGCCCACCGAGUUGAUCAACAAGAAGAACUGGUCCCCAAAGAGGAGCCGGUGGGAAGGAAAACUGAUGUUGUGAAUGUUAGCGCUAAAUGCAGUUCUGGUGAUGAAGUGGCCUUGCCCGUGGAGGCAGUGACAUUGCCAGGGCUGCCGGAAGGACACACUGAAUCAGACAUGGACUUUGAGGAGUGGGAAGGGAUUGAGAGGAGUGAAGUGGAGAAGAGGUUUGGUGCAGCUGCAGCAUUUGCUGCUAGUGGGGCUGGGGCGGCUGCCCUGUCAAAGCUCGAUAGUGAUGUGCAGCUGCAGCUUCAAGGACUCCUCAAGGUUGCCAUUGACGGUCCCUGUUACGACUCUACACAGCCACUUACACUGAGGCCUUCAUCUCGCGCAAAAUGGGUGGCUUGGCAAAAGUUAGGGAACAUGCAUCCUGAGAUUGCUAUGGAGAAAUACAUGAAUCUUUUAUCAGAGACAAUUCCAGGGUGGAUGGGAAAUGAAACAUCGGACGCAAAGAAACAUGACGUAACCAUGACUGCUACCAGUGUUCAACGGAGCAAUCAAGGAACAAGGGCAUAUACAGAUGUUGGUGCAUGACUUUCUGAUGUGGAUUAUGAAGAUAGUACUAGCAUAGAUGAAGGAACUACCCCUAACCCAGAGAAAGGCCAGAGCUCUGAUAUCCCUGCUGAAUGAAUGCAACGCUCAUCGAAUAUUCUUGCAUCAGCGGUUCCAGCCCAUUGCUGGGAUCUCUCUUGAUGCCUUCCUCAUAAGAUUAGAUUUGUACAGUUGUGGUGGUUGUGCUAAUACUAGUGCUAUGAUGAUGUUGGUUCGUGUAUAUAUAUAUGACUGUAUAUAUCUGUAACUGCUGCUGCUGCCGGUAUAUUUGGCCAGUUGCAGACAUGUCAUCGGUUGUAGUCAAUAUUAACGUUACCCUUGGUAACUGGUAAUUAUAUUUGUUACCACGUAGUUUGGAACGAAGAAUUUAAGCGGUUCAGGUAAAGACUCUUAUCUCA